GAGGAACUUGAGGCGGUGUAGGGUGACUGCCAGAGAGACGUCGGCCAUGCUGAAGAAAUCACCACACAGCCAGGACUGACUGCCUUCUUCUGAGAGAACGAGACAAAGAUGGUUGCUAAGUAACAAGCUGUUGUGGAUGUGCACCUGGUGUUUCUUCCACCCUCCUCUGUAGCUCCGUCUCGACCUGGUCCAUCACACUCUCCAGUUCAUCCAGAAGCUUCUUCAGACAUUUCCAGGACAGAAGACGGUGUCUUUGCCUCAGCAGCUGUUGGUUCAAUACCAACCCACGGCCCUUUGCUGCAUGUCGUUCCCCCUCUUUCUCCCCCUUUCACACCAUAGCUGUCCUGUCAAAU